AGACUGGAAUGAAUGGAUUGUAUGGGGCAAUACUUUCUUAAAUUUAAGUUUAAAAAUAAUUUUUUUAGUGAAGAAACUAAGAUAAAUAUGAGGGACGAGAAGACCCUAUUAAGCUUUAUAUAAAUAUAUUUUGUUGGGGAAACAAAAGAAAAUAUUUUCUUUAAAAUUUGUUUUUGAUAAAAAAAGAUUUAUUAUUAAUAAUGAUAGAUUAAGUUACUAUAGGGAUAACAGCAUAAUUUUUUUUAAAAGUUCUUAUUUACAAUAAAGAUUAUGACCUCGAUGUUGGAUUAAAAAUAUUAUAUGAUGAAGUUGUUAUAUAAAUUAG
rnacentral:rRNA from 1 species